rnacentral:rRNA from 1 species
GAUGAACGCUGGCGGCGUGCCUAAUACAUGCAAGUCGAGCGAAGCGGGGACGGGUGAGUAACACGUGGAUAACCUCCUAUAAGACUGGGAUAACUUCGGGAAACUGGAGCUAAACCGGAUACUUAUAGAUUGAUCCUCGCUGCAUUAGCUAGUUGGUAAGGUAACGGCUUACCAAGGCAACGAUGCAUAGCCGAGCUGGGAGGGUGAACGGCCACACUGGAACCGGGACACGGGCCAGACUCCUACGGGAAGGAAGAGUAGGGAAUCUUUCGCAAUGGGCGAAAGGCUUGCGGAGCAACGGCGGGUUAGAGAUGAAGGGCUUCGGGGCGGAAAACUCUUUUAUGAGGGAAGCGGUACCUAAUCAGAAAGCCACGGCUAACUACGUGCCAGCAGCCGCGGUAAUAC